UCAACUGGGGCAGCUCCUAGGUGAACUUGCUGAACAGUGAGAAAGAGACUGCAGUGGAACCUCUCUGAAGACAUUGCUGUCCACUCCACGUGGACCUGGUGGCCUCCUCCUCCUUACUGACAUAUAUGUUGACUCCUCACAGAGCCAACUAUAUCACCACGAGAUCCAUUUCAAGAUUCUGCUACAUCUGGCAUGGCAGACCAAGUUUCAAGCCAAUCUGAGUCAACAAAGUCUGUUGCUAGCAGAUGAAAAGUGCUAUGUGAAAUCGUAACGUCAAAAAUCAGGGGUCCAUUAUCUCGCACAUCGUGGAAAAACAGCACAGUGGUCGUUCAGUCUCCUUUUGACCCACCCCUUGAAGCACUUUCCUCUACGCACCAUGUGCCCUUCAAAAGAACAGCUGACCCAGUUCAUAAGGACCAUGCAGUACUGCUGGAGAAAGACAAGAAGACUCUUCAGACAGAGGUGCCUUGCUGCUUCAGCUAUGAUGGUUUGCUUGC